AUGGAUCUCGAGCACUAUUUAUUUGUUUCUCGGACACGUCCGGUGUGGAGACUUUACCAGCCAAAUGCGAGACAGAACAUCAUGAUGCAGCUUUUUCAGAGCGACCCCUCACCCACGGACUAUCUGGAGAUCCUGAUCAGCCAUGUGUCACUGUGGUUUGUCUUCGGUGGAGGAACCCAGCUGACCGUCCUUGGUCAGCCAAAGGCAUCUCCUACCGUGCACCUCUUCCCUCCAUCCUCAGAAGAGAUAAAAACAAAGAGCAAAGCCACACUGGUGUGUCUGCUGGGCAGCUUUUACCCAGGGUCAGUCCAAGUGACCUGGCAAGCUGAUGGCCAGCAGAUCUCCACUGGAGUGGAGACGACCAAACCCUCCAAACAGAGUGACAACAAGUACAUGGCCAGCAGUUACCUGUCACUGGAUGCAUCAAAGUGGAAGACCCAUGAGACCUACACCUGUCAGGUGACACACGAUGGGAAGAACUUCGAGAAGUCACUGAAGAGCUCAGAGUGUUCUUAA